GAGCGGCGACAGUCUGGGGAAACCCUCACUCGCACCGCCUUGACUCCCUCCAAACACCAGUGGCACUCACGCGAGAAACCUUUCCCCAACAGAACAUCAUUGUCAUUCAGAGAGGGCGAGGGGGAGUGGACUCGCAUCAUUUCUUCACUCAUAAUUUUGUGUCUUCGCCUGGUGCACUGUAUUCAGAAGGAACUUGUAAUAGGUAGAAGUCACCAGGUAUAUUUUUGAUCUCAGCUAAACAUUUGGACCUGCAACUGCAAGGAAACCGGACCUCUCGCCAACUAUUCAAACCAGCUACUUUUGCCGAUACGUUACUUCCCUUGAUUGAUACAACUUUACAAGCCUUGCAAUGAUCUCAUUCAUCAAAAUUCGAUUUGGAUAGCCGAAAGGAACUGAAUAAAUGAAACCACAGGGAGAUAGUAUUAUCCUAGAAAACUAAUGACAGCCACGCAACGUAACUAAAACAGCAACAGCCUCCCCGUUCCAAUACCACCAGAAACCACGGCGCUGAUUCGACCAGGCAG